CCUACGGGAGGCAGCAGUGAGGAAUAUUGGUCAAUGGGCGAGAGCCUGAACCAGCCAAGCCGCGUGAAGGAUGAAGGAUCUAUGGUUUGUAAACUUCUUUUAUAUGGGAAUACAUUUAGGAACGUGUUCCUUUUUGUAUUUACCAUAUGAAUAAGCAUCGGCUAACUCCGUGCCAGCAGCCCCGGUACUACGGAGGAUGCGAGCGUUAUCCGGAAUUAUUGGGUUUAAAGGGUGCGUAGGUGGUUAAUUAAGUCAGGUGUGAAAGUUUGUGGCUCAACCAUAAAAUUGCCGUUGAAACUGGUUGACUUGAGUAUAUUAGAGGUAGGCGGAAUGCGAGGUGUAGCGGUGAAAUGCAUAGAUAUCACGAAGAACUCCGAUUGCGAAGGCAGCUUACUAAACUAUAACUGACACUGAAGCACGAAAGCGUGGGGAUCAAACAGGAUUAGAUACCCCUGUAGUC
rnacentral:rRNA from 1 species